rnacentral:rRNA from 1 species
GCGUGAUGUGCGAGAGGGAUAGUUUACUAGACUUCAAACUUUUCUCGCCCUAGUGGCGGACGGGUGAGUAACGCGUGGGUAACCUGCCAUAUACAGGGGGAUAACACUUAGAAAUAGGUGCUAAUACCGCAUAAGCGCACAGGGGCGCAUGCCCCGGUGUGAAAAACUCCGGUGGUAUAUGAUGGACCCGCGUCUGAUUAGCCAGUUGGCAGGGUAACGGCCUACCAAAGCGACGAUCAGUAGCCGGCCUGAGAGGGCGGACGGCCACAUUGGGACUGAGACACGGCCCAAACUCCUACGGGAGGCAGCAGUGGGGGAUAUUGCACAAUGGGGGAAACCCUGAUGCAGCGACGCCGCGUGAGUGAAGAAGUAUUUCGGUAUGUAAAGCUCUAUCAUCAGGGAAGAAAAUGACAGUACCUGACCAAGAAGCCCCGGCUAACUACGUGCCAGCAGCCGCGGUAAUACGGAGGGGGCAAGCGUUAUCCGGAUUUACUGGGUGUAAAGGGAGC